rnacentral:rRNA from 1 species
GAUGAACGCUAGCGGCAGGCUUAACACAUGCAAGUCGAGGGGUAGAAGCAGCUUGCUGCUUUGAGACCGGCGCACGGGUGCGUAACGCGUAUGCAAUCUACCUUUUACAGAGGGAUAGCCCAGAGAAAUUUGGAUUAAUACCUCAUAGUAUGUGAGAAUCGCAUGGUUUUUCACAUUAAAGUUCCAACGGUAAAAGAUGAGCAUGCGUCCCAUUAGCUAGAUGGUAAGGUAACGGCUUACCAUGGCGACGAUGGGUAGGGGUCCUGAGAGGGAGAUCCCCCCACACUGGUACUGAGACACGGACCAGACUCCUACGGGAGGCAGCAGUGAGGAAUAUUGGACAAUGGGCGCAAGCCUGAUCCAGCCAUGCCGCGUGCAGGAUGACGGUCCUAUGGAUUGUAAACUGCUUUUGACAGGAAGAAACACUCCCUCGUGAGGAGCUUGACGGUACUGU